rnacentral:rRNA from 1 species
AGUCAAUAGAUACCCUGGUAGUCCACGCCGUAAACGAUGAGUACUAGGUGUAGGAGGUAUCGACUCCUUCUGUGCCGCAGUUAACACAAUAAGUACUCCGCCUGGGAAGUACGGUCGCAAGAUUAAAACUCAAAGGAAUUGACGGGGGCCCGCACAAGCAGCGGAGCAUGUGGUUUAAUUCGAAGCAACGCGAAGAACCUUACCUAGACUUGACAUCCCCUGAAUAACGUAGAGAUACGCGAAGCCCUUCGGGGCGAGGGAGACAGGUGGUGCAUGGUUGUCGUCAGCUCGUGUCGUGAGAUGUUGGGUUAAGUCCCGCAACGAGCGCAACCCUUAUCAUUAGUUGCUACCAUUUAGUUGAGCACUCUAGUGAGACUGCCCGGGUUAACCGGGAGGAAGGCGGGGAUGACGUCAAAUCAUCAUGCCCCUUAUGUCUAGGGCUACACACGUGCUACAAUGGUGAGAACAACGAGAUGCAAUACCGCGAGUGGAGCAAAACUUCAAAACUCAUCUCAGUUCGGAUUGUAGGCUG